rnacentral:sRNA from 1 species
AAAAAAAACUGAACCAUGCCUAGAUUGCUCUACUCGACCACACUGUCAUGAUCUGAUACCAUUCCCUAUCAAUUUGAACCUGAAUCUGAUCUUUAAUUAUCAUGUCUGCAUCAAAUUUGAACUCAUGGAUACCGUAAAAUACUUGGAUUUUCUUAUUCAUUUUGAUCACUCUUUUUAAUCCAAGUAGCUGACUCUCCUUAUUAGAGCAGUUAACCCAAACCCAAACCUAGACUUUCUUUCAAGCCCUAUAUAACUUGUGAGUGUUUGUGAGGUCUUAUUCCGAUUAAGCUUGGUAGAAAGUGUUAGGUUCGUAACGACAGAGAUAGUGUCUCAUGUAGUUCUAGUUCGCAUUUUUCGAACUAGAUAGGACUAGGUGGGCGCUUAUACUUUGGGUUGGGAUGUGUUUAAAAGAAAAAAAAA